GGACUACACGGGUAUCUAAUCCCGUUCGAUUCCCACGCUUUCGUGUUUCAGCGUCAGAAACGCGCCAGUACAGUGCCUUCGCAUUUGGUGUUCCCCAUGAUAUCAACGGAUUUCACCCCUACACCAUGAGUUCCCUGUACCUCUCGCGCCCUCGUAGCUAUACCGUUUCCUCUGCAUUCUCUGGGUUGAGCCCAAAGACUUUAACAAAAGACUAAUAUCGCCGCCUACACACCCUUUACGCCCAGUGAUUCCGGAUAAUGCUCGGGGCCUCUGUAUUACCGCGGCGGCUGGCAC
rnacentral:rRNA from 1 species